rnacentral:misc_RNA from 1 species
UGAGUUGAAGAUUUGUGACUUUGGUUUAGCUCGUCAAUAUGGGAGCCCCUUGAAACCAUACACUCAUUUGGUGGUUACUUUGUGGUACAGGGCGCCAGAACUUCUGUUGGGAGCCAAGCAAUAUUCUACUGCAAUUGACAUGUGGUCACUGGGUUGUAUUAUGGCCGAAAUGCUAUGCAAAGAACCACUCUUCAAUGGGAAAACAGAAGUUGAUCAAAUUGACAAGAUAUUCAGAAUUCUUGGCACCCCUAAUGAGAUGAUUUGGCCAGGGUUUUCCAAGCUUCCUGGGGUGAAGGUCAACUUUGUAAAGCAUCAGCUUCCAGCUUUGGGUGAUUCUGGUUUAAUAAUUUAAGAAAUAAAUUUCAAAGCCCUACAACAUCUUACAUGGGAAAACCAGACCUAUCAGAGUCUGGCCUUGACCUGUUGAAUAAGCUUUUGACUUAUGAUCCUGCGAAGAGGAUAUCUGCCGAUGCUGCUUUGAACCAUGAGUGGUUUCGUGAAGUU